CACACUUUGUAAAUCAUACUGCAACUGCACAUCAGAGACAGGAGAGCAGGAGAGCAUGAACAUCAUGGCCCAUGUUUCCCUGUUGCUCUCUGUAAUAUUUAUAUGUAAGUAAUUUCAAUUUUCCUCCGUUACUGAAAACGAAACAAUAAGCAAUACAAUUUUUUCCUUUUGAUACUAGCACACUAUGACGACUUUAAGGGUCUACUCCAUAUUAACUGUGAAUAGUUUGUUAUUGUGGAAAUAUGGUAUGGGUAAUCCUAGAAAAGGGGGUUGAAAGGUGGCAACAUAAACUGUAUGGUACACUGAUUGUUCUAAGAUUUUACAAUAAUAUAGUUUGCUUUUUAGUCAGCAAUAUCAUAAUCAUAUCAGAUUCUAUAUAAACCUUACAUUGUGCGUCUAUGAGGCUUAUCUUCUUUUUGAUGUUUUUUUUCAUUCAGAUUGCACUUCAGGGGAAGAAGUCACCCAGACACCCAGUGAAGUAUCAAUUAAUGAAGGGAGCGAGACCGUGUUAUCUUGCAGCUAUGAUGUAGCUGCUUAUUCCAUGUUUUGGUACGUACAGAAACCUGGGAGUGCACCUCAACUUCUCCUUACUGACAUAACAAAUGUGGAGGACCUCAAUAAGGAAAUUAAAGGACGUUUCUUCCACAAACAUGACAAGACAAACAAACAAUUCCCCCUGAAUGUUACUAAAGCAAGACACUCUGACUCUGGGACAUAUUACUGCGUGCUGAGGCCCACACUGUACUCAGAGAAUAAAAAGGUUGUACAAUAACAUCACUGUACUGACAGAGAUGUUAAUCCACUAGAUGGCAGCGCUACUUGCCAAGAAUAAUCAAAGGAUGCCAUUUAAACAAGGGUAAUGUCUGUUUAUUCAUAAAAAAAAAAAGUAUAUUUAAAUUACAUAUGGAAUUCCAUAAAUC